AUGGCACGGGGAUCCUUCCUCACAGUGUUGAGAACAUCAAGGUCAGGUCUGUUCUGGUGGUACCCGUGUGCACAUUCCUGGUGUCCAUCAUUAUCCAGGUUCUGCACCCAGACUCUGCAUUUCUGCUUUGUUUCAGCCUGGCGAUACAAAGAGGUUGCGAAGCCAAGUUUCCUCAAAAAUUCUGAGUGUGAGAAUGUUCCCAGCAGUGUUUUCAAGACACCGUUGCCACAUCCAUGGACAGCAAGAUGUAGGCCUACAUUUGUCUCUCAAAUGCUAUCGGCUAUACUGCAAGUUCUUCCAAUUCUUCUCUGCCCUUCUCUUCAGACCACCCUGGCCUCCAGACAACUGGACACACUUCUGAUGCUGCCCUAUGCCACCAAAAACUGA
rnacentral:lncRNA from 1 species